rnacentral:rRNA from 1 species
AUUGAACGCUGGCGGCAGGCUUAACACAUGCAAGUCGAGCGAGCGGCGGACGGGUGAGUAAUGUCUGGGAAACUACCUGAUGGAGGGGGAUAACUAAUGGAAACGUUAGCUAAUACCGCAUACCAUCAGAUCUGCCCAGAGGGGAUUAGCUAGUAGGUGGGGUAAUGGCUCACCUAGGCGACGAUCCCUAGCUGGUCUGAGAGGAUUACCCGCCACACUGGAACUGAGACACGGCCCAGACUCCUACGGGAGGCAGCAGUGGGGAAUUUUGCACAAUGGGCGCAAGCCUGAUGCAGCCAUGCCGCGUGUGUGAAGAAGGCCUUCGGGUUGUAAAGCACUUUCAGCGAGGAGGCGUUACUCGAAGAAGAAGCACCGGCUAACUCCGUGCCAGCAGCCGCGGUAAUAC